GAACCAAGAUGACAUCAGAAACCAAAAGGAGGAAGAAGUCAACCCAGGCCAUUCCUCCAUUGAAUGAAGGCUAUCUAUUGCACCUUGAUGAAGGCUAUUUAUUUUCAAAUGUUUAAUGUUCAUAGUCCAAUGGCCAGUAUAAAUCGAAGUGAGCUACAAUUCUAUACACGAACUUAAAUUGGGCAUUAGACAUCGUGGUAAGAUUAUUUUUCUCUUUUGGUCUGACGGGAGUACGUGUAAAGUUCAACUAAAUGGUUAAACUUCUAUGAAAGAACUUAUAAGCUAAUACCAUUUUAAUAGUUGUCUUUCAACUAUUUGUA